AUAGUGUCUCCUCUCCUCCCCCACCCCAUUUUUUUUUUUAAAGAUAGAGGAGUUAUAAAAACACUAUAUUGCUGUCUUCUCUUAGUUGUGGCUUCUGAAAUCCUAUAGCACUGAUUUUUUUUUUUUUUGUCAUCAUUGACAACAAAGAGACUCUAAUUGUAACAUAAGUAUCUGAAUCAGAUAGCAAACUGUAACAUUUUCAAUGUUGUUAUAGCAGAGAUACAAGUUAACACAACAAACUUUUGGUGCAUUUGUGAGGUCAAAGGGUAGAAAUCAGGGAGAAAGGAAAGGUCCAGUAUUUCUAAGGACCCACAGAUACAGUUCUGGAUUGGGUGAGUCCAAGGAUAUCAGCAUGAGUAUGGCCCAAAUGCAUAUAAAAUUUUGUCUGAAACUAGAGAGGUAUUGAUUAGAUAGAGUCAUCUAUACAGACCCCUGUUUGUGAUUCUCUUCCACUGAAAAGCAAAACAACCUGAAAGUCCAAAAGACUGAACAUUUGAUGAGAAAUUCUCCCCAGGGAGGACUAAUAAAUCUGAGAACUAAUCUGUGAAUCCCAGAGGAAGAAAUCAAGAUGAAACGUGUCAUAUUUAUGAAUUUGAUUAUUACAAUUUGACAUAAUGCAGUUGCCUGGGAUUUUAAAAUCUAUUAGUGAAGGCACAUUACUUUAGAGUAAGCCACUUUAUUCUCUCAAUCCCCUUUUUUU